AGUUUGCAAGUCUGAUUUUAUCAAACACUGGCACUCAACAUUCCAUAUAUCAUCUGCCUAAUAUUCUUGAGUGAGACAGAGGAGACCGGAAUUUCACGUGUAGGGGUGAAAUCCGGAGAUCUACAAAGGAACGCCAAAAGUGAAGGCAACUCUCGAGAUCCCUAUCGAUGCUGGAGUGCGAAAGCAUGACGAGCGAACAUGAUUAGAUACCAUGAUAGUCCAUAUGCCAUAAACGAUGAAUGUUGACCCUUAAUCUACACGGAUCAGACAGCAAUUGCGGCAGCUACUC
rnacentral:ncRNA from 1 species